GAAGGAGAUAACUGAUAAUAAUAACAGCAGAUAGUAUAAUGGAUAAUUUUUUUUAAAUUUUAUUUUGUAUUUUUUUAGUGAAGGGUCUCGCUGUGUGGCCCAGGCUGGAGUGCAGUGGUGCAUUCAUGGCUCACUAUAGCCUUGAGCUCUUGGGCACAAGUGAUCCUCCUGUCUCAGCCUCUAGAAUACCUGGGACUAUAGGCAUGCACCACCACACUCAGCUAAUUUUUAUUUUUUUGUAGAGAUGGGUCUUAAUUAUGUUGUCCAGGCUGAGGCACAAACUCCUGGCCUCAUGUAAUCCUCCUGCUUCAGCCUCCCAAAGUGCUGGGAUUGCAGGUGUGAGCCACUGCACCCAGCCUUUAUUUUCUUUUUUGUUAUCUGUAUUUUUCAAUUUUAUUUAUUUAUUUUGAGAUAGCGUCUUGCUCUGUUGCCCAGGCUGGAGCACAGUGGUAUGAUCUCAGCUCACUGCAACCUCUGCCUCCCAGGCUCAAGGGAUCCUCCUGCCUCAGCUUCCUAAGUAGCUGGAACUACAGGCGUCAGCCACCAUGCCUGGCUAAUUUUUGUUAUUUUUCAUAGAUAUGGGGUUUCACCAUGUAGCUCAGGUUGGUCUCGAACUCCUGGACUCCAGUGAUGCCACCACACAGGCAAAUUUUUUAAUUUUUUGUAGAGAUGGGGGUCUCACUAUGUUGCCCAAGCUCGUCUUGAACUCCUGGUCUCAAGCAAUCUUUUCACAUUGCCAUCCCAAAGUGCUGGGAUUACAGGCAUGAGCCACCGCGCCUGGCCUCUAUUGUAAUUU
rnacentral:lncRNA from 10 species